GGAAGCUGCAUGGUUUCUGAGGCACUCUGGGAGAGCAAAUGUCAACACUGUGUGGAAGAUUUAUGCCCAUUUAAAAACAAGAUUGAGGUGCUGUUAAUUAGCAGUGGGCUUUCUUCAUAUUUGUACUUAUUCCACCACUGCCUACUGCACAGCCUGGCCUGAAGCAACAGGAUGAUCACUUAUCUGAUAUAGAUAACUUGAUAAAGUGCACUGGUGGUCUUAUGUGAAGCAUGUUCUACAUUUCACAAUAUAUGAAGCUGAUUCAGCUAUGAAUAAUUUCUUCUGUUUUAACGGAUUUUUCUCAUCAUAUGGUUUGAUGGUUUUUGAUCAUCCACACUCCCAGAUAAAGAUUGAUUCUCAAAUCACACCUUUUCCAGAGUUUCAAAGACAAAACACAGAGGGGUUGUCUUGCAAAGAACAUCUACAGACAUGUCGGCUAUCUUACAGUAUAUUGCCAAGUCUCUCUUUAGAUAAGUAAAGAAACUCUACUUGUGAGUAUAAACCAUUUAAGUGAGAACAAACCAUUUAAGAGUGGGAAUGGCUGUGACAGAUCACAGCUGCUCACAUCAGUGUGGAAGCUUAUGAGAUCUUAAAAAAACAUUUGAAGGAAAACACAUUUUAUGUGGAAGCAGUGUUCACUGCUCUGUGCCGUGAAUCAAACACUGAUAAAUGGGGAUGAUUAGUAAAUUCCCUUUGAAAGCUCCAGCCUGGUCAAACCUAAAACACUUCUGUAGACAUAUGCUUUAAAGUUCCAUCUGCUGUCUAAGUCCGCAACCUUUUGAACACUCCUGACUUUUAAUGAAGCCAACAAAAACUGCUGACAUUUUUCACACACAAAAGGUGCUCGAGUCUUUGCAGCUUUGACUCAUUAGUGAACUAUUGUACACUUUUGACACCUGCAAAAAGGACACUGGAGACCACGGCAUCUUAAUUGCAAGCCAAAGCCACUACAUUCUGCUGCAGGAAGCAAUCAGAAAACUGCAAUGUAAAACAUUGUAUAAAGCUGUAAGGAGAAAGCAGAUAGGAUCAUGAUGGCUGCUGUUUACAGGACAGAACCUGUAAACGUUUAUACAUGAAUUCCAAGUUUGCCAAGAUAAAAUUGCAAUAUAUAUGAAAGAUGAGCUGAAGCCCACACACUUCCUAAAUUCCAUUGCAAGCAGAAAGGUGGGGAAAAUAGACUUUAUUGACCAUUUCUAUAUGAAAAUAAGAAUGAUUACAGAAGUUUCAAGAGACCUGGCUAUGAUAUCUCUCCAUGACUAACAACACUAAAAUUAUAUGUAUUUUAAUGUAUAUACUAUCUGUAUGUGUUUGACACACCACCAGACAAAUUCUCCAAUUUAUCUUCUUUGAGUUGCCAUACUUAUAUUUGGGAAGAAUUUGCAAAUCUGCAUAAAUAAGCUAAAUUCUGAAGUAUGCAUGCAACCUCAUUCUCUCUGCUGGACUGUCCCCCAACAUGUUUUGCUUAUGUGGACAAAAGCUAUGGUGUGACACCUGCCCAACUCCAUUCAAGAUAUCUGAAUGGAAACAAGAACAAAAAAGAGGAAAUAAAGAUGUUAAAAAAUGUUCA
rnacentral:lncRNA from 1 species